GAGUCGGACAUGACUGAAGCGACUUAGCAGCAGCAGCAGCAGCAGUGGUUGUCAGAGCACCAGGUCUGAGCUCCAUGCGUCAUGCAGUAACUUCCCACUAGCUAUCUGUUUUAAUAUGGCCUUUGGAUGGGAAAUGAAUCACAUCACUUGCUUCCCUGGGUCUCCUGCUUGCAUAGAUUGUGAGACUUCUCAACCUUCGUGUUUAUGCAGUCCUAGUAAGAAACAGGGAACUAAUAAGCCACCAUCAAUCAGAAGAGUUCAGAAAAGGUCAAAAGGAGACACCACGUUUCUGACCACCUCCUAGAAUCCUUCUCUCUGGCAUCCAUCUUGGCUGAGCCAAUGCGUGUGCCACCAGGAAGGACUCUGAGUCAGAAUGAUUGGCCAAAGACACCCCAGAAACUAAUCCCAUUACCGGAAAACCUGAGACUGUGAGCAUGUGGCAGAGCAGUUCUCCUGGGUUCCCCUACCCUACUCCUCUCCACCCAGGCGCUUCUUCCCAAUAAAGUCUCUUGCUU
ensembl:lncRNA